rnacentral:rRNA from 1 species
CCAGACUCCUACGGGAGGCAGCAGUGAGGAAUAUUGGUCAAUGGCCGAGAGGCUGAACCAGCCAAGUCGCGUGAGGGAAGACGGCCCUACGGGUUGUAAACCUCUUUUGUCGGGGAGCAAAGCGAACCACGUGUGGUUCAUUGAGAGUACCCGAAGAAAAAGCAUCGGCUAACUCCGUGCCAGCAGCCGCGGUAAUACGGAGGAUGCGAGCGUUAUCCGGAUUUAUUGGGUUUAAAGGGUGCGCAGGCGGAGGUGCAAGUCAGCGGUCAAAUUGCGGGGCUCAACCCCGUACUGCCGUUGAAACUGCAUCCCUUGAGUGCGCGAGAAGUAUGCGGAAUGCGUGGUGUAGCGGUGAAAUGCAUAGAUAUCGCGCAGAACUCCGAUUGCGAAGGCAGCAUGCCGGCUCCACACUGACGCUGAGGCACGAAAGCGUGGGUAUCGAACAGGAUUAGAUACCCUCGUA